AAUGAGGUUAUGUUCAUGUGCACCGAGGU
rnacentral:sRNA from 1 species